rnacentral:rRNA from 1 species
UACGUAGGCAGCAAGCGUUGUUCGGAAUUACUGGGCGUAAAGGGCGCGUAGGCGGCCUUCUAAGUCGAACGUGAAAUCCCCGGGCUCAACCCGGGAACUGCGUCCGAUACUGGAAGGCUUGAAUCCGGGAGAGGGAUGCGGAAUUCCAGGUGUAGCGGUGAAAUGCGUAGAUAUCGGAAGGAACAUCAGUGGCGAAAGCGACUUCCUGGACCAGUACCGACGUUCAGGCACGAAAGCGUGGGGAGCAAACAGG